GCGGCGCACUACGCGAACCCGGCAAGGGCCCAUCGCCGAUGCAACCAGUGAUCGAACGCAUUCAGCGCCUGCUUGUCGCCUGGGGUGCGACCUCGCCAUCGUCGCGUACCAAGCUUGCAACUACCGCUGCACAGGCUUUGCAGGCCAAGGACAAGUUCGGCUCGGCGCUGUCGCUGGUUCGUUCAGCACAACGCACCGCGACGACAUUGCGCGAGCGCCUUUCGCCGGAUGCGUGGCAUGUCAUCACCGGCAUGGUCGAACGCCUUUCGGAGAAAG
rnacentral:misc_RNA from 1 species